GCGAAUGUAGCUCAGUGGUAGAGCACUUGCUUGCCAAGCAAGGGGUCACGGGUUCGAAUCCCGCCUUUCGCUCCA
rnacentral:tRNA from 1 species